rnacentral:rRNA from 1 species
UACGUAGGUGGCAAGCGUUGUCCGGAAUUAUUGGGCGUAAAGCGCGCGCAGGCGGCCUCCUAAGUCCGAUGUGAAAGCCCACGGCUCAACCGUGGAGGGUCAUUGGAAACUGGGGGACUUGAGUGCAGGAGAGAAGAGUGGAAUUCCACGUGUAGCGGUGAAAUGCGUAGAGAUGUGGAGGAACACCGAUGGCGAAGGCAGGUCUCUGGGCUGAAACUGACGCUCAUGCACGAAAGCGUGGGGAGCAAACAGG